rnacentral:rRNA from 1 species
GACAGAGGGUGCAAACGUUGCUCGGAAUCACUGGGCGUAAAGGGCGCGUAGGCGGGAAUGUAAGUCGGGCGUGAAAUCCCUAGGCUCAACCUAGGAACUGCACUCGAAACUGCGUUUCUUGAGUAUCGGAGAGGAAAGCGGAAUUCCUGGUGUAGAGGUGAAAUUCGUAGAUAUCAGGAGGAACACCAGUGGCGAAGGCGGCUUACUGGACGAC